rnacentral:ncRNA from 1 species
CUGAGGGGGGGCUGAAUUGUUUUGAAUUAAUCCUUUUUUAUGUUAAUUAGGAUAUCUGGUGAACUUUGGAGAAAUUUAAUAAAAGUUUAAUAAAUUGGUUUAAAUUUAUUUUUAUAUAAGUUUUAAAAUUUAAAUAAUUUAUUUUUAUAUUUUGAAAUUAAUUUAUAAAGGUAACUUUAUUUUAGUAUAUAUUUAUAUGAAUAGUUAAUUUUGUGCCAGCAGCUGCGGUUAUACAAAAAUUUUAAUUAAUUUUUAUUUUAUGUUUAAUUUAAUUUUUUUUUAAUUUAAAUUUAAUUUUAUAGGGUGAAAUUCUUUAAAAUUAGUUUAUUUAUUUUAUUAAUGUUAAAAAAAAAUAACUUUAAGACUAGGAUUAGAUACCCUAUUAUUUAUUUGAAAAAGUUGUAGUGAAUAAAGUAUAUAUUCUUGAAAGUUAAAAUAUAUGGCGGUAUUUAAAUCUUUUCAGAGGAACUUGUUAAUUAAUUGAUAUUACACGAUUUAAUUUACUUUAGUUUAUGGGUUGUAUAUCGUUGUGAUAAAUUAUUUUUAAAUAAUAAAUAAUAUUUAAUAAAUUUAAUUUAAUUAUUAAUCAAAUCAAGAUGCAUUUUAUACUGAAGCUUUAAUGAGUUACAAUAAAUUUAUUUAUGGGUUGGUUUAAUUACUUUUACUAAUAAAUUGGAUUUGAUAGUAAUUUUAUUUAAAUUUUUAAUUUGACUUAAGAUCUUAAAUAUGUACAUAUUGCCCGUCGCUCUAAUUUAUUAGAUAAGUCGUAACAAAGUAAGUGUACCGGAAGGUGUACUUAGAAAGUU